AUUCCUACGGGAGGCAGCAGUGGGGAAUUUUGGACAAUGGGGGCAACCCUGAUCCAGCCAUGCCGCGUGAGUGAAGAAGGCCUUCGGGUUGUAAAGCUCUUUCGGCCGGGAAGAAAUCGUAUGGGUUAAUACCCUGUGCGGAUGACGGUACCGGCAUAAGAAGCACCGGCUAACUACGUGCCAGCAGCCGCGGUAAUACGUAGGGUGCGAGCGUUAAUCGGAAUUACUGGGCGUAAAGCGUGCGCAGGCGGUUUUGUAAGACAGGCGUGAAAUCCCCGGGCUCAACCUGGGAACUGCGCUUGUGACUGCAAGGCUAGAGUAUGGCAGAGGGGGGUGGAAUUCCACGUGUAGCAGUGAAAUGCGUAGAGAUGUGGAGGAACACCAAUGGCGAAGGCAGCCCCCUGGGCCAAUACUGACGCUCAUGCACGAAAGCGUGGGUAGCAAACAGGAUUAGAUACCCUGGUAGUCCACGCCCUAAACGAUGUCAACUAGGUGUUGGGUGGGUAAAACCAUUUAGUACCGUAGCUAACGCGUGAAGUUGACCGCCUGGGGAGUACGGCCGCAAGGUUAAAACUCAAAGGAAUUGACGGAAU
rnacentral:rRNA from 1 species